AGAACGAACGCUGGCGGCAUGCCUAAUACAUGCAAGUCGAACGAAGGCUUCGGCCUUAGUGGCGCACGGGUGCGUAACGCGUGGGAAUCUGCCCCUUGGUUCGGAAUAACAGUUGGAAACGACUGCUAAUACCGGAUGAUGACGAAAGUCCAAAGAUUUAUCGCCAAGGGAUGAGCCCGCGUAGGAUUAGCUAGUUGGUGAGGUAAAGGCUCACCAAGGCAACGAUCCUUAGCUGGUCUGAGAGGAUGAUCAGCCACACUGGGACUGAGACACGGCCCAGACUCCUACGGGAGGCAGCAGUAGGGAAUAUUGGACAAGUGGGCGAAAGCCUGAUCCAGCAAUGCCGCGUGAGUGAUGAAGGU
rnacentral:rRNA from 1 species